GCUAGCCCCUGCCGCUCCAUCCCUUCGCCGCCUAACCCUUGCAUCCCCCAACCCUCGACUACCUGUCACAACUCUCCUCCCUGCGCCGCCGUGGGUCUCGGCCUAUCUCCUCCCUGCGCCGCCGCGGGUCUCGGCCUCCCUCAUCCCUUCGUCCAGGCAAAGAGAGGGCUGGCCUUGGCGCCUUGCCACUUUGAUGGCAAUCUGCCUUAUGAUCCGCCGCCGAUCCCGAUCCGCCGUCGAUCCCGAUCUCGCAUCGGAGGAUUUGAUUGACUUCUCCUCUCCUCUCUUCCACCUCUCUUCGUCGUCGGAUCCCCGCGACACAUGCCCAGAUACGUCCGCAAACCGCCGGCGACGAGGUGUAUGGUGCCGACAUGGCCGUGCUCGAGCGCCUCCAGGACCCCGCAGAGGAGAAUCAAGGCGUGGCGCCUCCUGGACUCCGUCCUUCGCCGCUUUGUCGACGACGUCCCUGCCGCCGGGCAGGAAGGUACUCGAUGACGUACUCGAUGCCCACCUGCAAGCUACAUGUCUUGGAGGGAAGUUGCGACUUGAGGGAGUGAGCUCCCAUUCUCUCAAUUUCUUGGCAUGGUCAUGCUUGCAGUACUGAUAAGGCAUGCUUCAAAAAUGGAGGGAGGACCUGAGCUGCCGCCUUGGUUCCUGUCCGCACCAGCCGCCACAGUAUGCCUGCAAGGAGGACAUUGUAAUUUGGUCCAACAAGUACACACAACAAUCUUCUGAUUGUUCAACAUUCUUUAUUGCGUGAAUUUCUGACAUAUCAGGAUGCAGGUACAUGACACUAUUGUGUUGUCUGCAGAGGUUCUCAUUCUGAAAGAAACUGCAACUAUGCAAGAGCUUAUUGACGGAGAUUAUGAAAUUUGCAGUUCAAGUUCUGGACAUCAGAUUGAUACUUUACCAAAGGUGCACCAAUCGGCCCUCCGUCUCCUAGGGUGAUGGCACAAUGACAUCGACAGCGGCAGCAAUUGCGCACAUGUGAUGAUGGAUUUGUCAACUGACUUCAUAUCUCUAUCUCUACUACCUACAAAACCUUACGGUUUAAAACUUUUUAUUUACUUGGGUCUGCUACCUCAGAUUGAUGCGCCAUGCUCGGGCAAUAAUAGUCCAAGCUUCAUCGUGUAAUAAGCUCCACCUGUGUGCACAGGUAAGUGGUUCUGGUACUGCUUCUGUUUUUGUUUGUUAUAUUUGCUGCCAGUCUGAUUGCUACUAUCUACUGUACGUGCUUAUUGUUUGGCUUUGAAGAGAUAUUUGCUCGAUGUUAUGCCAAUUAAUUUCAAACAGAUGGUAAACUGUGAUUUGCUCCUCAAUUUGUAUUGUAUCUGAGAUCUCAUUUGUGCGUACAAUAUUAGCUUCUUCAUGGCAAUUUCAAUGUUACAUGUACCAUAGUAAGCCAAUCAAUAUCUGCACCAUAUUGGUCUGAUGCUUUCUUACCCUCUCAUCCUUAAUUAAUAGGCAUUUUCCAAUAGGAUCAGCUUUGUUGUGCAAACUCACUUGUAUUUUCCAUGUUAUUUGCACGAUAUCUUGAAUGUUCAUGGUCCGAAUAUAAAUAAGAUUCGGUUCUUCUCUCAGAAACUUAUCCUUCUGCUUAUAUUUGCAUUUGCUAUUGAUGAUGUAAUUUGAGCA